GCCAGCAUGGCAUAGUGGUUUGGGUGUUGGACUACCAUUCUGGAGAUUGGGGUUCAAUUCCCAACUCGGCCA